UACGUAGGGUGCGAGCGUUAAUCGGAAUUACUGGGCGUAAAGCGUGCGCAGGCGGUUAUGUAAGACAGUUGUGAAAUCCCCGGGCUCAACCUGGGAACUGCAUCUGUGACUGCAUAGCUAGAGUACGGUAGAGGGGAUGGAAUUCCGCGUGUAGCAGUGAAAUGCGUAGAUAUGCGGAGGAACACCGAUGGCGAAGGCAAUCCCCUGGACCUGUACUGACGCUCAUGCACGAAAGCGUGGGGAGCAAACAGG
rnacentral:rRNA from 1 species